AUGAGGGGACAACCUGCUCCGCCGCGGGAAUGCGCCGACACUACUCGGGAGAUCCUGCUCAAGCUGCCGACCAGGGACGUAACCCGCUGCUGCUGCGUCUCCAGGCUCUGGCGCGAUGUCGUCGCCGACCCCACUUUCCGCAGACUCCAUGCCGAGGCCGAGGCCGAGGCCGACCACGUCGCUGCCGCGCCGGAGGCCUUGCUCGUCACGGAGACCCGCGAGCAUGGCAGGUCCGACGAGGCUAGUUUCUCCUGCAUCUCCUCGUCCAAGCCUGCUUCCAUGCCCCACAGCAUUGUCAUCCCUAGCGGCUACGGCCUCUCCAACGUCUGCAACGGCCUCCUCUGCUUCGCCCACAACACCGCCCCCAUGGCGCCGGUGUUAAUCUGCAACCCUGUCACCGGCGAGACGGCGACGCUUCCCAAGCCACCUCCCCGGUGGCACAAGAACGACCCCACCGAGUAUCAUCACAUAGCUUUGGGGUUCAGCCCUUCCACCAAGGAGUACAAGCUGUUCCGGUUCUCCGUGUCAUCCAAUUCCGACUACGAGACCGUGAUCCAGCAGAGCGUGUGCACCUUAGGCGGCGGUCGCGACAGGUGGCGCCGGCAAUCAUACAUUUCAAUGUGUCCCUUGUUGCACAACUCGCCGCCGGUGCUCGUUGAUGGCAAGCUGUACUUGAUGACCAGCGGCCGUGGACACCAACAACCUCGAAAUCGGAACUCUAGUGAGAUGCUGGUAGUCGACGUGGCGACCGAGGAGUACCACAUGCACCAUCUCCCGGUCGAGGACAAGGGGUACUACCCGGACUUUGAUCCGCAGGUGAAGGCCUUUGAGAUGAGCGGUCGGCUGUGCCUCGCCGUAGACAUCUACCACCCUCAUCGGAAGCUCCAAUUCUGGGUUUUUUCACCGCCAGCGCAGUACCAGAGGGGAGAGUGCGACAACAAGAAGCUAUGCUGGGAUCUGCGACACAACUUCUACACUGAUGGCAAUCGGUGUAGCACCUUGACUAGUGUGUGCUUUGACGACGGCGAGAAGAUGUUAUGCUUCAGACGUGGGGAUAUCUUGUUCAAGCACGACACUAGAGGAUGCUCGCUAGAGCUGUCCCCCGAAGCUGACUGUGAACAAUGUCACCAGCGACUCGAGCUUCCGCCAACGCCGUCAAACUGCAAAUGGAACGUUUUGGGUGGUUAUCGCCCUAGCCUACUCUCACCUCUCACCUUGGCAACGCCGUUGUCGCUUUCGUACGCCGAAGCAGAAAGACAACAAUUCAAGCAUAAAUUGCUGCUUACAUUGCGCCGACACGAAUGA
rnacentral:rRNA from 1 species